GGGAGUAAGUAAAUAAAUAAAUAAAUAACGAAACGACAAAAAAAAGUUAUUUUAAAAAAAAAAAAUAAAAGUUCAAUACAAAUAAAUGGAUUUCAACAAACUUGAAUUGCACUUAAAAAAACAAAAACUAAAAAAAAACAGAUUCUUUGUGGAAAUUCCUAUAUGUUUUUGGUGUGACUCGUAUAUAUAUAUUAUAUAUAUCAGUGUGCACAGUAGAAUUAUUAUUAUGUUUUCCAUAGCUCACAAAGGCAGGCCAUCUGUGCAAAUUAUUUCUAUAUUGAGUGAAGAAGCGCGUUUUAACGAGACUGUAAAUCAGCCCGGAUUGAUGGAACACAUUCCUUAGUGAUUGAGCCCUGCUAUUUCCCAUGUAGAUUAUCACUAGACUUUUUUCCCUCAUUCCUCAGAGCAGAGGGGAGGUCCUGUUACAGCUUUCAUUCUGUGUUUUGUUUGUGUCUCAUCAGACGCACCUGUUUCUUAUGGUUCGGGGUCAGCGUUCGUUUUAUUUUGUAUUUUUUUUUUAAUUUCCCGUUCGCUUGCGAGACGCGAUUUGCGGAUCCUUUUUAAUUUGAUUUUGUUGGGGUUUUUUUUUUUUUGGACGGGCCGAGUGAGAUUUCUCCAGUUUCUAUUCCUGUAAUACAGCUAUUCAAAAUCGCGCCAGAAAAGCCAGUGCUUUUUAUAGCGUUGGGCAGAUGCGUGCUGUUUAAAAAAAAAAAAAAAAAAAAAAAAAAAAAUCAAAAAUCAAAGUGUUGCUGUUAUUGUUGAUAACGAUGCUAAUAAUUUUGUUUUAUAAAGGAGAAAAAAAGUAUUUGAACUUAAACAGCACUUUUGGUGGACUUCAUAAACUCUCCACUUUGUGCAUUUUAAAACAUUGAAUGUAUUCUUUAUAUGGAGGGGGCUGUGAUUCUUCGACAAGUCGAGGAGGAGGGGGAGGAGAGAAAGAGAUGAGGCUUGUUUUAAAAAAAAAAAAAAAAAAAAAAAAACUUUGAAGAACACUGCCUCCCUUAUCCGCUAGGUGGCGCUCUUGAAUUCCCAAAAGGAGUCUCGGUUUACAGACAGAUCGAUGGAAUCAGAAACUUUUCAGGACAGGAAAGUUUUGGAUGUUUUUUUUUUUUUUUUUUUUUCCCUGUUUCUACUAUGUGACAAUGGAAGCCUAUUUAAGAUAUAUAUUGUGACAGGUUUCAUACAAGUGUGACAAUUUUUUGUUUACUGAUCUUAAAUAUGACUUUUUUUUUUUUAUAAUAAUUUUUGUUCAUUGAUUUUUGAGCUGCCGUUUGGACAAAAAAAUGUUAAAAAAAGAAAAAAUGAAUUCAGAAGAACGAUCGAGAGAAAACAAGGGUUUCUCCUUCUUUGCUUUAAACAAAUGAGGUAAAAAGGAACUACAAAAAAUAAGGAAUAUGUUUCAGAACGCUGUACGCAAACAUAAAAACAGCUUUCAGGCACUUUUCUAAUAACUGGGGGGACCCUUUCUGAUUUUAUUGUUGACGCUACAUUUUGGAUAACCCUUUUCCUCCUGGUUUGAGAAACUCCUCUUCAACAAAGAAAACAAACACACUUAUAAAGUCUCUUCGCCUCGGAGGGGUUCUUCUUCGCUGAGGUUGUCAAAACCUGUCAUGAAGGAAAUUCUGUGAUUUUUUUUUUUUUUUUUUUUUCAAUGAAUGUCAAAGGAGGCCUUUUAAACCUUGGACGUCGACCUGCUUUUUCUCAACCUGGUGGGGCGAGAGAGACUGUGAAUUGCGAUGCUCAGUUCAGCGUGCAGGAUUUGUAUAAAGAAAAUAUGGUGAACCUUUUUUUUUAUUUUUAUUUUAUUUUUUUAAACUGCUGACCUCUUCUGGUUCAUUGUGAGGCGGGAUUACCGUUUUAUUCUGGGAAGAAAGGAGAGAUUUUAUUUUAUUUUUUUUUUCCCCCCCAGAAGAGGCCACGUCUUAAAUUUAAGGAUUUAAAGAACACAAAAUAUACACGCUCACGCAGUUGUAUAAAGAGCUUCGUUGACAAGACAGCGCCGUGAGUUCACAACAUAUCUUCAGACCCACAAGCAAGACCACGACCCUCGAAAGGCAGAGUGCGGGGUGGGGGUGGGGCUAGCAGGAGUGGUAUGCUCACUGUGUAGGGUCAUUUUAUUUUUAAACAUAUGCAAGGAUUUAAUUUUUUUUUUUUUUUGGUGACCCUCCUCCUUUUUCCCUGGUUUAAAGGCACGAAACGUUUGGAGUUUUUUUUUUUUUCCAGUUCUUUUAGCAAAGGCAGCUUUUCAUUGUGGAAUAUUUCACCAUGCUUUUUUUUUAAUGUGUUGACUUGAAAUGCGGAUGCAGACUUGAAUACCACAGGCUCAAACUGAUAAUCAAGCUGAGCUCCUGUCUGACCCUGAAUAUUCAUGGACGCGCUGUCCUUGAGCGUGUGGUCGAGACCGGCAGCUGUUAUGUAUUCAGUGUGCUAGCUGUGCUUCAGCCUGCUUGCCUGGUUUCAGAAGCAAAAGGACUGUAACUCAUGCUGAAAGUUUGCAAUGUAAAUAAUGUAUUAAAUAUUGCCUUAACUGUACAAAUACGACCUGCGGUGCAAUUUUUAUUUUUUUUUGGAACAAACGAGACGGAUCGUACUGUGUUUUCAGAGAGGUGACGGGGAGAAACCCGGGUUUGAGAACGACUGCAUCUCCCCUCUCCUCCCAUGCGAAAAAAUAAAAAAUAAAUAAGGAAAUCUGUGGACUGGAAGGCAUACAUGUGCCCCAGCGCCUGUGUGUAGCCCAACAGCGAACUAAAAAAAAAAAAAGACUGUUGCAUGCUUUCUGGCAAACCACUCUGAAGACAAACCCAGAAACGUGUUGCUGGGAUGCUGUGGGACAUGAAAUUGACAAAUAGUUAUUAUUUUUCACUGUCGGGAGUUCUGCCAACGUCCUGCAAGUGAUUGUUCUGGUUUUAUUCUUGUUCUGCUUUAUAGAUAGGGCUUUGGUACAGCACUGUGGGCAAGGCACAGCACCACGCAUGUGCGGAUAGCUCAGCUGCUUGGAGGUGGGGGGACAAUAUCAAUCAUUUAAGUCCCCCCCCGACCAUUAGUUGCCAUCCUGCCUUUCUUUGGUGUGGGAAGCAUUUUAAUGAGAGGUGUGUAGAGAUCGCUGGAGGAGCCACCUUCACGAGGGGGUCGUAGUGCCCCUGGGUUGCAGGCUGGACGCUGUCUGCUGUUUUUAAAGAAGUCAGAGAAGCAAGCGCAAAAAGAGGGGGUGUGCAAGCCUGCUGCCCGUCCGCUGUGGUGCCGUGCCUCUGCCUGCAGGGGGAAUCAGAACGUGGAUUCUGGAGAUUACAGCAGAGGGUAGAUUGAGGGAGUUUUUUUUGUUGGAAUACUUUCCCCACAGAAUCUUGAUCCCUUUUAAUGUAUAAGGGGCUGUUUCCCCCGCCACCAACAAUACAGAUGAUCCUAACCUUAUUCUAGAGAUGAGGUGGCCGAAACAGGGUUGAAAUUGAUAUAUUGUAAGGAUAAAGAAACCGGUUCCAUUGCUCAGCUUCGAGUGUUAGUCUGGUGGAGGGGGGUGGGGGUUUGAAGCAUCUGAAAUGUUUGUCAGGUUCUGUAUUGAGUGUGAAAUUGAAAUAUAUUUUGAAGUUGGACUGUGUGUGGUUUUAUCCGCAUUUUUAUUGUUUGCAGCAUUUUAUUGAGAGCCAGCUCAAUCUGUUGUGUUUCGGGGUGUGGAAGUAGGGUUGGGGGGUAAGUUUUAAAAACAAACAAACAAAAAAGAAUACAUUUAGGAAAUUAUACAACCGAGAGAGAGAAGAAAAAAAAAAAGCAGGGUAGAUUUAAUUUUUCUGUUUCCAAAAUGCAAUAUGUAUUUAAAAAAAAAAAAAAAAAAAAAAAAACACUAACGCUACUUAAUUUGGGGUGAAAUAUUGCAAAACGAAUUUUAAACGUUUAUUACUUUAAACGUUCUACUUGUAUACCUGUAAAUAGGGGUGUGUGUGUGUGUUCAAGCAUAGUACUUGCAAGCGUCUCCAUUUAAUCUUGUGUAAAGUCACGCUGAAAUACAGAGUUCAGUUUUGCAUGUAUAUAAACCCGACCCAACCACAGAGACUCUGCAAAAGCUUAAAGGCGGGGGAACGCAGAGCGGCUCUCUGGGGUGGAACGCGGGUUCAGGAGACCGGGUUUCAGUCCAGGGCGCCCCGCACCAAGCGGGGAGACUCGGGGCCCGGUUUGAAGCAGCAAACCUCAAACUGGGUCUCCUGGAACUAGGCUUCAAAGCGCUGCUCCCUGAAGAAGUGGCUUCACGUUCAACUCUGCUUUUAGGUAACAUUUGCAGAAUCUGAAACACAAUAAAGCAGUCAGAUAUAUUUUAAUGUUUUGGUUUUUUUUUUUUUUUGAGAGUUAAACUAAGAAAUAUAAAUAAAUAAAUACAAAAGAAAAACACCCUCACAGCUCUAUAUUUAAGGUGUGAAAUACAGCCACAAAUAGGGUUAUGUUUUAACGAGGCGCUAAUGCUGUGCCAGAUUUCUGUUUUUUUUCAAAUGUGUCAAGUUCAUGAGUUCAGUUCAGUUUGCUAACAAUAGCGCUGCAAUAAAAGCUCUCUGAUGUUGAA